GAUUCUUUAGUAUAGUUUAAGUAUUUUUGAUUUCCAAUCAUAAGGUUAUAAGAAUUA
rnacentral:tRNA from 1 species